GUUUCCGUUAUGGCGGCGUCUAUCAAGAUGUUUUGCUUGUACAUCUCGGCAUGAUUCUUGUAUUAUUUUUGAUAAACACACUCCCAUGUGUAACGUUACAGGUUUCUUCGCUCUGCAACAGCCCAGAUUGGAUGUAUAUUAUCUCUAAAUAAACGGGGCAUUUUGAAGGAUGGUUUCACUGAAAAAUCAGCCCAAGAUCAACUUCCUCAGCUACUGUAGUCUUGUUGCCAGACCGGGUACUGCGGAUUCGACCCCACGGCAGACAGCCUUCAUGUGGGUAAUUUACUCGCCAUCAUCGGGCUGAAUUUUCAAAGCGCAGGACACCUGGCGUCGCUCUAAUCGGUGGUGCAACAGCACUGGUAGGAGACCCAAGCGAGAGAGAGCGUGCAGCGAAUCUUCACCAACCAUGAACUGACUUUUCCACAACGACUCUAAUACGUUUGGCACUGUAACUGUAUUGAACAAGUUAACUUUGUACAAAGACUGGAAUGCUUGCUUUUCUGGCAGAAGUUGGCAGACAUUUCCGAAUGGGGAAUCUGCUCAGUAGGCAUGCAGUGUCCAGUCCAGGUUGAAGAGUGCAGAAGGCAUGAGCCUUUACUGAGUUCUCUUACCAGCUGUUUCAAGCCUAUGACUCCUACCACCUGAACCAGAAUCACAGCUGGGAGGGACAGACCAGCUGGGCAACUUGAUGUCUGGGCACAAGUUCAUACACAAGUGCACCAAUGCCCGGUACCACAGUAACCUUCAGGCCCUGGAGCUGAUGCGUGAUGCUGAGCUGCAGGAGCUCUUCAGAGAUGCCCCAUUCCAUGAGUUGCUGCUGGAGCCAGGGCCCACAAUACUGGAUGCCUGCCGCAGGGCAGAGGACAUCCCUCGGGGGCCCAAAGGAGGUUCUGAGAGCUCUGAAGCAGGAUUUCAUCAAGGAUCUGUCUGUACUUUCACCCCGUUCAUCGUUCCCUCGAUCCUGACUAGUCUCCCAGUCCCUCCCGCUGAAAAACAUCCCCACAGCAUGAUGCUGCCACCAUGCUUCACCGUAGGGAUGGUGCCAGGUUUCCUCCAGAUGUGACACUUGGCAUUCAGGCCAAAGAGUUUUUUUUUCUCAUGGUCUGAGAGUCCUUUAGGUGCCUUUUGGCAAACUCCAAGCGGGCAGUCAUGUGCCUUUUACUGAGGAAUGGCUUCUGUCUGGCCACUCAACCAUAAAUAUCUGAUUAGUGGAGUGCUGCAGAGAUGGUUGUCCUUCUGGAAGGUUCUCCCAUCUCCACAGAGAAACUAUGGAGCUCUGUCAGUGACCAUCGGGUUCUUGGUCACCUCCCUGACCAAGGCCUUUCUCCCCCGAUUGCUCAGUUUGGCCAGGCAGCCAGCUCUAGGAAGAGUCUUGGUGGUUACAAACUUCUUCCAUUUAAGAAUGAUGGAGGCAAUGUGUUCUUGCUGCAGAAUUGUAUUUGGUACCCUUCCCCAGAUCUGUGCCUCGACACAAUCCUGUCUAGGACCUCUUCGCACAAUUCCAUCAACCUCAUGGCUUGGUUUUUGAACUGUCAACUGUGGGACCUUUAUAUAGAUGUAACAGGGUUAUAUUGGUGAUUCCCCUUGCCACUUUAUUGUUAAGCCAAUGGGUUUUUGGUUUGAGUUUGUCUUGCCUUCACCUACUCAACAUGGCAUCUUAUUGGCUGGUUUGUGUGGCUUGCUUACGAGGGGGGAUGUUCCAGUUAGAAUCGUCCCCGUGAACAAGCACCAAACCAGCGUUAAGUUGUUGGUUGCAAAGCACUGUACAUCAAAAGUGAUUUUUAUACUCUCAAGUGAUGAUUUAAAUGUACAAUUUAUAUCAAAUUGUUUGUAAAUGUUAUUCGAACAUCACACACAAGGUGCAGCGGUUUUUGGAGAAUAUUUGUUGUGCAUUUUGUUGUAAAGAAUUCCCGGCAGUACUAGCUAGCAACUUACUGUGUCUGGUGGGGGCGGUUCAUGUAUUUUGUACAGUGCUGAUUGUAUACAAUGCAAGAAGAGUGCUGUUACAUAGAAAGUUGUGUGCCUUUCCAAAUCAUGUCCAAUCAAUUGAAUUUAUCACAGGUGGACUCCAAUCAAGUUGUAGAAACGUCUCAAGGAUGAUCAAUGGAAACAGGAUGCACCUGAGCUCAAUUUCGAGUCUCAUAGCGAAGGGUCUGAAUACUUAUGUCAGACUUGUAUUAUUAUUAUUAUUUCGGGUGUCAGGCAGCCUAGUGGUCUGAGUGUUGGACUAGUAACCGAAAGGUUGCAAGAUCUAAUCCCUGAGCUGACAAGGUAAAACUCUGCCAUUCUGCCCCUGAACUAGGCAGUUAACCCACUGUUCCUAGGCCGUCAUUGAAAAUAAUAAUUUGUUCUUAACUGACUUGCCUAGUUAAAUAAAUUAUGUUUAUUAUUUUGAAUAAUUUAGUAACAUUUUCAAAAAACCUGAUUUCGCUUUGCCAUUAUGGGGUAUUGUGUGUAGAUUGAGGAUUUUUUUUAAUUUAAUACAUUUUUUGAAUAAGGCCGUAACGUAUCAAAAUGUGUUAACUGUUUUUCUGUGUUGUGUUGUCUCUGUGAUGUGUUGUGAUGUCUCAUGAGGUGUGUUGUCUCUGUGAUGUUUUCUCUGUGAUGUUGUCUCUCUGAUGUUGUCUCUGUGAUCUUGUCUCUGUGUUGUAUUGUCUCUGUGAUGUGUUGUGAUGUCUCAUGAGGUGUUGUGUUGUCUCUGUGUUGAGUUGGGAUGUCUCUGUGAUGUGUUGGGAUGUCUCUGUGAUGUCUCUGUGUGGUGUUGUCUCUGAUGUUGUUUCUGUUGUCUCUGUGAUGUUUUUAAUGUUGUCUCUGUGAUGGGUUGUCUCUGUGUUGUGCUGCAGGUAUCGCAUGGUUUCAGAAGGAACUGUAUGGAUCAACCAGAGUGAGACAGACAACCCAGAACAGACCCCUUGUCCCAAAAUAAAAGGUCGCACAGUAGUUCGAAUGAAGUUACUCCUUGCCCAGGCUUAGAAUACACACCCAGGAAAGCCAGUCCCAGGA